rnacentral:lncRNA from 1 species
CCACCUAAUUACUCACUACGACUCGUCCACACCCUUAGCCCUCUAUCCUAAUGCUUUUCCUCCAUACCUUCCUAUCCAGAGUUAUGUCCUUAGUCAACUACAAUAGCUCCAUGUCACGUCUAAUCACUUCUCUCCAGUAUUUCUUCAGUCUACUCCUACCCCGCUUGAAACCAUCCCAGGCCAACCUCUCACACCUACCAAUUGGGGCAUUCGUUCCCCUUCUCAUCUCAUGAC